UUGAAUAGACUUUUUUUUCAAAAAGUUUUUUUCAUAUUCCCUGUUUAUAUUAAAUACGUUCCUUCCAUCGGACAGGUCUUUCAGGACCCUCUAGCUUGAGCAAAAUGCUUUUUCUGGGGAGUUUGCCGGUGGCAUUUCUAAAAAAAACUUUUGUUAUUAUGAAUGUCUGAAUAUACUUUGAAAUUAAAUA
rnacentral:misc_RNA from 1 species